UACAGAGGGUGCGAGCGUUAAUCGGCAUUACUGGGCGUAAAGCGCACGUAGGCGGCUUGGUAUGUCGGGUGUGAAAUCCCCGGGCUCAACCUGGGAACUGCAUCCGAAACUGCCUUGCUCGAGUAUGGGAGAGGGAAGUGGAAUUUCCGGUGUAGCGGUGAAAUGCGUAGAUAUCGGAAGGAACAUCAGUGGCGAAGGCGACUUCCUGGACCAAUACUGACGCUCAGGUGCGAAAGCGUGGGGAGCAAACAGG
rnacentral:rRNA from 1 species